UACGAAGGGCGCAAGCGUUAUUCGGAAUUACUGGGCGUAAAGGGCGCGUAGGCGGUUUGUUAAGUCUGUCGUGAAAUCCCCGGGCUCAACCUGGGAAUGGCGAUGGAUACUGGCGAGCUAGAGUGUGUCAGAGGAUGGUGGAAUUCCCGGUGUAGCGGUGAAAUGCGUAGAUAUCGGGAGGAACAUCAGUGGCGAAGGCGGCUGCCUGGCCCAAUACUGACACUCAGGUGCGACAGCGUGGGGAGCAAACAGG
rnacentral:rRNA from 1 species